AUACUGUUUCGAUAAUCUGGAAGCCUCAGUGCAUACACAAUUGGAUUGACAGCAAAAUUCACCAUGGCAACUGAUAACAUUUGUUGUCUGUAUUUGGGAUACUUUGCAAUCAUGUAAGUUUGCCAUGUGAGUGAUGUCAAGUGACAAAAUGAGCCCGCAGCACCAAACAUCCAAAAGAAAAGGACAGAAUAAAUGACAGCUUCUGAUGGUUUGACCUCGAACAAUCUACCCAAUCCAACAAUCAUGAAUUGGGACAAAGAUGCAGUGAAAUCAGCUAUAGAUAAGCUUAAGAGGGUAAUCCACGGUCCUCGUCUAAGUUUGUUUAAAGGAUCCUUCACAAUAACAACAAUAAGAAUUCCAUUUGUUAGGACACCAACUGUGGAGAUCACCAUUGUUGUUAUUAAUAUUUCUUGAGGAAGUGAGAAACUUUUCUUCGGUUUUUUAUUAAAUACAUAAAUAUAUGUUUAUUA